rfam:Serratia sp. DD3 SRDD_contig000087, whole genome shotgun sequence.
CUUUCCGUGCUGAUUCCCAUUAACAUGGGGAAAAUUGUGGAAUUAUAUAGUUUGUCUGAUAGCACAAAAGCGCAGCAAUGGCGUAAGACGCAAUGUGAAAUCAAACAAUUAGCGGGCUGCGGGUUGCAGCUUGGCCGCUAGAUGGAAUCAGAUCUGUCAACAUAAGUCAGAGGCUAUUCCCAGAGUUAAAAAGCGCUGUUUUUCAAAAAGAAAUUCAGGCUUGCCGAAAUUAUGCGCCCCUAUGCAAGCGACAACCGUGAGGUUGACGACUUUGCGAGAUGACACGGGGUUUUCGGUUGAACACGGCCAUGAAGUGAUUGUGCCCGCAGCUUUGUCGAUAA